GAUGGAAAGACCUUAGUAUAAAGAUACCUGGAUUCUGCCCCACACUGGCUGUAUGACCUUGGGCAACUCAUUUAGUCUCUCUGGGCCUCAGUUUCCUUAUCUGUAAAAUAAGGACGUUGGGCUAGUUGGUAUCUAGAAUAGCUUCCUCCUUCGGUAUCUGCUAUUUAAUUUUGAGAAGUGAUUGACUUUCCCUUGUUGAGGGUGACCAGGAUAGCACCCACAGAACCCUGUGUGUCCCCAGGCAUAAGCGGUGUCUACACUAAGGGAACCAUGUACUAGAGCGGGGGGAAGUGAAAGUUCGGAGUUCCCAGUGUCCCUACUCCCACUAUCUCUAUUCCCACACUGGGCAUCCACCACCCCAGGGAUGUGAAGAUCAUAGGUCCGGACCUCCUCGUCUGUAUACCUCGAAGGCUGGAGGCUCUAGUCAACCUUGCAACCAAAAGAAUCUCAAACUAUUGUGUCAGAAAUAAAGUGACGCUCCUCUGGGGGACAUCCACUGGACGGUAGCCCCUCCCCCACCCCUGCUAGUCUGCAGUUUCACUUUCUCCAGUUUGAGUUACUUGCGGUCAACCACGGUCCCGAAGCAGAUGAGUCUCUCACAACACGUCAGAAGGUCAGCAGUCACAUACGUCAAUCACCUCACUCCUCUCAUCGUGGAGGCAUUUUAUCGUCUCACAUCAUCAUGAGAAGAAGGGCUGGCUUCCAGACAGGGAUGGCUGUGCAGAAACAGCUCCAACUAGGAGGGAACCCCAAGCCAGGCCCGACCCGGAAGCAGAGGAAAGCAGAGCCAGGCAAAGGCAGACAUGGGGAUCAGGGGAUAACAGGGUCCUGGGUUCCAGCUCCCAGAACCUAAAGGUUGGGCCCCUUUGCAAGACACCACCACCACCCUACCCCACUCUACAGCUCUUCAGGUUUGUAGGAAUCUGGCCGGUUUGAUCAGGAAGACGCUGAGGAGCCAAAGCACCCCCCUCCCAACCACUCCCAGGCUCUUGGUCGCCUGCUAGAUUCUAGGGAGGGUCUCGACAGAGGUUUCCAUACCCUACAA